GAACUGAGGAGAGUAACUAAAAAGCCGUCAAACUCAGGCCAGCUUGAAAACAGAGAUCUGGACACGAAAAUUCAGUUUGAAAAAUCCCAACUUUUUCUCCAGUAUUGCCCCCUGCUUUCCCUUCUCCGGUUCAACCCCCGCCAGCGCGCCCUCUCUCGUGGGGACAACUUGGCGACCGUCGCCGCCGCCCUAGGCCAGGUGCCCACGCUUUCGUCGGUCCCUUCAACAGCCCUUCGCCGGCGACGAGCAACCACUAAGAGCGUAGGAUGGCAAAGAUUAAGCCAAAGGCCUUGCUGGCACAAAGCAAAGUGAAGAAGGCUCCUAGCCAGAUCAGCGUGGCUACUAUCGUUACCUACAUGAUCCUCGGCAUCCUGGUUGUAUCCUCUGUUUAUGCUGCCUACAAAUACUGGAUAGGCAAAGGACCAGUGGAGGCAGUGGGCAUCGAGGGGAAUUAGUCCCCAACUAUGUAACUGGUUUUGUUGUUGUAUCAUCCAGUUGGAUAGUUUUGGUUGUUGCAGUGCAGUGGUAAAUGGUUUGAUGGAACAUGAUAGGAUUACGGAUCCUACCAGGCACACUGCGCAGGUUGUAUGGGUGAGAGCAGUGGCGGAGCCAGCAGUUUUAAAGAGCCUGGGCAAACCAAUUAUCCUCUAUGCUAUGUACA